rnacentral:rRNA from 1 species
UCAGGAUGAACGCUGGCGGCGUGCCUAAUACAUGCAAGUCGAGCGAACAGACAAGGAGCUUGCUCCUUUGACGUUAGCGGCGGACGGGUGAGUAACACGUGGGUAACCUACCUAUAAGACUGGGAUAACUUCGGGAAACCGGAGCUAAUACCGGAUAAUAUUUCGAACCGCAUGGUUCGAUAGUGAAAGAUGGUUUUGCUAUCACUUAUAGAUGGACCCGCGCCGUAUUAGCUAGUUGGUAAGGUAACGGCUUACCAAGGCGACGAUACGUAGCCGACCUGAGAGGGUGAUCGGCCACACUGGAACUGAGACACGGUCCAGACUCCUACGGGAGGCAGCAGUAGGGAAUCUUCCGCAAUGGGCGAAAGCCUGACGGAGCAACGCCGCGUGAGUGAUGAAGGUCUUCGGAUCGUAAAACUCUGUUAUUAGGGAAGAACAUACGUGUAAGUAACUGUGCACGUCUUGACGGUACCUAAUCAGAAAGCCACGGCUAACUACGUGCCAGCAGCCGCGGUAAUACGUAGGUGGCAAGCGUUAUCCGGAAUUAUUGGGCGUAAAGCGCGCGUAGGCGGUUUUUUAAGUCUGAUGUGAAAGCCCACGGCUCAACCGUGGAGGGUCAUUGGAAACUGGAAAACUUGAGUGCAGAAGAGGAAAGUGGAAUUCCAUGUGUAGCGGUGAAAUGCGCAGAGAUAUGGAGGAACACCAGUGGCGAAGGCGACUUUCUGGUC